AGUAUAAUAAAAACAAACAAAGAAGAUUUGCGAAGGCCGCCUAUGGCCUUCUUUUGCCCUGGACAGCUUUCCCUCCUAGUGUCCGGGGUUUUUUU
rfam:Geoalkalibacter ferrihydriticus DSM 17813 scaffold6, whole genome shotgun sequence.